GAUAUUCUUAGGAGUUCCGCAUGUAUGAUUGUUGAAGAAUCUCAAUUAAUGCGUUGUGUUUUCUAUAUUCGUUUAAUUGUAGUGAUAGGUAAUGAAUAAUACAAUAACGUCACUCACUAUAACGUUAUAGUUACAACGUUACCAUAGCAUAAUGUUUGUACUUUGAGUUUUUUCCGACGUUCUUGGGGCCGAGAAAACUGAAGUAUGUAACGAAAAAUUACACGGAAAUGUAAGUUCACAAUAUAGAUCAAAGAAAUUUAAAUUAAUG
rnacentral:lncRNA from 1 species